AUGUUGAUUACAAGCUUAUUUUUCCAGGUGCAGAACAAAGUCAAGACUCAUUUCUUCAACCUACCCAGAGAUAUCCGCAUGACGGUAGCUUGCUCAACAAAUGGAGCCAAGAUUCAAAACCAGGACUUGCUGACAUCAAUGUGGAUGUUUCUUCUAUUAUUCACACUUCCAACUCUUAAUUUCAUUCAACACUCCUAGAUUUCAGGACCUUCUAUGACUCCCCCAUAGAAUAUGUCAACCUCAGUGAAGAAAAUUUGUCUACAUAAAACCUAAAUGCAUUUAUCUAGACAUUUCCUAUCGCUACUUUUCCAUGUCUUUUUCUCCUGUGCCAGAUAUGUACUAAGUAUCUGUUGAAUAAGUAAAUGACUAAAUGAAUGAAAUGUUUUUUUACUUGACUCUUUGAAACCCUUUUCAAAAUUCACAUACCUGAAAUAGCUACACCCACAUCUGACUACUCUGUUACUCUAUAUUCCCACCUUGUGAAAGGUCUCCUGUUAUGUCCCCACUAUCCUAUAAAUAAGCCUCAUAUUACCACAAUCCAUGCAUUUCUAAGAAUGAAGUGAUUGAUGAUUCAAAGUUAAAAUUAUUUAGGACAUUUCCUAUGCAAAGGAAAGCCUAUACGAAACCACUUUCCUUCAAUAAAGAAGUCAUAUAAUUAUCUAAAUUAUCAUUUGUUUAUCUGCUUUAUUGAGCUUUAUUUCCUAAUACUGGUGAUUUACAUUAAUUAAUGUGUAGGUAUCUAUCUAAAUAUCUAUCUAUCUAUCUAAACACAUACUCAUUAAUGUUAAUUUUUCAGUGACCUACAGUUAAACAUCUGAAGUAUAUUUUUCUGGGACUAUGUGCACUGUCUCUGUAAGAGUGUGAGCUCUACAAGGGCAAGUACUAAUUUUAAAAUUCUGUUAUAAUCUUCUAAUUCCCACUGUAAUUUCUUCAACUAUCGCAUUAAAUGUUUAUUACUGACCAAUGAUUCUUCCUCUUUUCUAGCUAUUCUCCAGCAAUUUCUUUGAAAGAAAUACUAAUGAGUAAUUAAAUGUUAGAAAGGGGCAAAAGAAUGAAGAGUGGAUUUUCCCAGAAGGUAAUUAUGAAGUACCUACCAUGUUCCGGGAAUCACAUGGGGAGAUGGGAGGACAUAGUCUCUGGCCUCAAGGAUAUUGUCUAGUGAGAUAGACAGACAAUUACAGCACAGUGUUCUGGGCCAGCAGAGGCCCAAAGAUAUCCUACACUUUGAAGAAAGGCAAAAAUGACUGACUGCUGAGGUCUCUAAUUACUGAGAUUCCUCCUGAAGUAAUGGUAAAUGCUAUAAUGCAAUUAUAAUAAAUAUAAUGCAAUUACAAUAAAUGUCUGUUGAAUCGAAUUAAAUCAAAUUGAUGCCUCGCUCUCCAGAAGCUCAAAUAUAAACCACAAAAAAUGGAAAUGCCAUUAUUUAGAAAACAAAUUUGAGGCUUCCUAGUAAGCUAUCCAUAGGGAUAUUUCAGGAGAUUUUUAACCCAUUAGAGUCCUUAAGAAAUUCUAUAAGCUUGUGCCCUACUCAAGUGGCCUUCUCAUCUGAUGAAUGGAUCCUUAUAGAAGCUUCUUUAGAAUAUUCUCAGACAUCUGAGGUAAAGACCUGGCAAAACUGGAAUGAGUUUUCUGCCACUGAAUAACUUAAGGUUGAUAACAACAACUCAAUGUGAUUGCUAGCAGCCACAAUUCGUGCUAAAUCAUUUCAUAUAAAAGUAUAGUCCCCAGCAAAGCAUAUCUUUGAAUGCUAUUUUCUCAGAACUAGGUAUAUCUUCUGCCUCUUUUCUUCCUGCUAAAUAAAUUCUUUGACAACAAGGUUGUGUCUUUCUUGUUGAUAAUGGGAUGAAUGAAUGAGUAUAUGGUAAUUGAAUGCAUGAAAAUGAAUUUAUUAGAUGGUUCCUCAGAUUGGUCUGAAGUUUUGUGACAUUUAUAAAUUGGUACAUCUCACUGGCACUCUACACAUUGAGCAAAUGCAUUUUUUUAAAUUUCCACUUUCUGCUUUAUUGCUUUCUCUUUAUCAUCAGACAAGGAAAGCAUGUUUUUAUAGACAUAUUAGAAAAUAAACAUAAGCGGCCGGGCGCUGUGGCUCACGCCUGUAAUCCCAGCACUUUGGGAGGCUGAGGCGAGUGAAUCACAAAGUCAGGAGAUCGAGACCAUCCUGGCCAACAUGGUGAAACUCUGUCUUUACUAAAAAUACCAAAGUUAGCUGGGUAUGGUGGCAUGCGCCUACAUUCCCAGCUACUUGGGAGGCUAAGGCAGGAGAAUCACUUGAACCCAGAAAGCAGAGGUGCAGUGAGCUAAGAUUGCACUCCAGCCUGGUGACAGAGAAAGACUCCAUCUCAAAAAGAAAAAGAAAAGAAAAAUAUGCAACGUUUUAAAAACCAAAGAUUUCACCACCUAGCAUUAACGAAUAGUAACAUUUUAUUUCUGUCUUCUCCUAGGUUUUUCUAUGCAAAU
ensembl:lncRNA